GAUGAACGCUGGCGGCGUGCCUAAUACAUGCAAGUCGAACGCUGAAGGAAGGAGCUUGCUCUUUCCGGAUGAGUUGCGAACGGGUGAGUCACGCGUAGGUAACCUGCCUGGUAGCGGGGGAUAACUAUUGGAAACGAUAGCUAAUACCGCAUAACCGUCGAUGUUGCAUGGUAUCUACUUAAAUGGUGCCAUUGCACCACUAACACAUGGACCUUCGUUGUAUUAGUUAGUUGGUGAGGUAACGGCUCAUCAAGGCGACGAUACAUAGCCGACCUGAGAGGGUGAGUGGCCACACUGGGACUGUGACACGGCCCAGACUCAUACGGAAGGCAGCAGGAGGGAAACGUCAGCAAGCGACGGAAGACUGACCGAGCAACGCCGCGUGAGGGAAGAAGAAUGUCGGAUCGGAAAGCUCGGUUGUAAGAGAAGAACGAGUGUGAGAGUGGAAAGUUCACAGUGUGACGGUAACUGACCAGAAAGGGACGGCUAACUACGUG
rnacentral:rRNA from 1 species